rnacentral:rRNA from 1 species
GCGAACGGGUGAGUAACACGUGGGCAAUCUGCCCUUCACUCUGGGACAAGCCCUGGAAACGGGGUCUAAUACCGGAUAUGAGCCUGGGAGGCAUCUCCUGGGUUGUAAAGCUCCGGCGGUGAAGGAUGAGCCCGCGGCCUAUCAGCUUGUUGGUGAGGUAAUGGCUCACCAAGGCGACGACGGGUAGCCGGCCUGAGAGGGCGACCGGCCACACUGGGACUGAGACACGGCCCAGACUCCUACGGGAGGCAGCAGUGGGGAAUAUUGCACAAUGGGCGGAAGCCUGAUGCAGCGACGCCGCGUGAGGGAUGACGGCCUUCGGGUUGUAAACCUCUUUCAGCAGGGAAGAAGCGUGAGUGACGGUACCUGCAGAAGAAGCGCCGGCUAACUACGUGCCAGCAGCCGCGGUAAUACGUAGGGCGCAAGCGUUGUCCGGAAUUAUUGGGCGUAAAGAGCUCGUAGGCGGCUUGUCGCGUCGAUUGUGAAAGCCCGGGGCUUAACUCCGGGUCUGCAGUCGAUACGGGCUAGCUAGAGUGUGGUAGGGGAGAUCGGAAUUCCUGGUGUAGCGGUGAAAUGCGCAGAUAUCAGGAGGAACACCGGUGGCGAAGGCGGAUCUCUGGGCCAUUACUGACGCUGAGGAG